GUUGGUUUUGCGGCAGCCGGAUGGAGCCGCGGCAUCUCGGCCUCAAGCCACCUGAGCUCUGACCUGUGUCAGGCCAGAAAGAUUAGCACCAGCAGACAGAAAAGAAAAUUAAAAAACAAGAAAGAGAAGAGAAAGAAAGGAUCUCAAAACAUGGUGGAAGUAAUGAUUGAGAUUUAGACUAAGAGGAAAGAGACAAAGAAACAACAGAAGUCCCAAGGACAUUCAUGAGCAAAAUCAAGAUGUUCCAUCCCUUGAACAAAGAAGCAUGUUCCUCCUGCCGUGCCAGCCUGCAGAUGCCUGCCCCUUUUAUGCAGCGGCCUCUGCUGCUCGCUCCCUCUGGCCUUCUCCUUCCCAAGCCAUUUCAUUCCUGAGCUCAGAGCUACAGAGCAGAGCUUUCCUGGACACAGCAAGAUGAAUAAAUACGUUGACAUUUUUGGAAACCAGAUUCUCAUGUAUUGGAAGACAAAAAUACGGAAAAGAGAAAGUAAGAAAGUACCUUACAUGUUGGAUUUGAAUUGGAUAUGAAUAUAAACUCAACAUACCUACCUUCAUAGUAGAAAUAAGCACAUCUAGUCUCCAGAUCGUGGUUCUUAAAUAACAUUUCAUACUAAAAGGAACUAGAGGUCCUUAAGGAAUGGCUGAUCCCAGGGCUAGGCAGAUAAAAUACAAGUUGAUCCUGGAAUAGCUUGUUAUGGCAGAAAACAAAAAGAAAAAAAAAUAUGCUUAAAGACAAUGGGGACCUAUCAAAAGUACAUAGGAGUCAGCUUGAGGAGUUUCAUGCUGGCCAAAUUUGGUAUAUGUAAGCAGAAAACAGAA